ACCAGUUUCUUAUACUGUGUUCUUCUUUAAUGUCAAUAUCUUCAAUUUCUCCAGGGAAUUCUUUUCCUCCAAUUUCAUCUUCGCUCCCUUGCUUCCAAUUCUACUCAAUUACCUUCAGAUACAAAGUUCAAGGACUUCCAUUGCUUCUGUCAUAUGUACAUUAGCAUAUUAUUUGGCUCUGGCUGCUAAGUUCUUGUUUCCUGGUUUUGCUUCUCAGUUUGAAGCCCUCAUGACCGUGUUUGGCUCUCUGGCUCUCGCCACUCUGGUAUCUUUGGCUCUGCAGCUUCCGUGGUGGUCCAUUUUCUUUAUUCUAUUAUUCAUAGGAGGCUUCUUUAAGUUGCUCAAUAAACUUCAUGCACCAUAUGGCAAUACACGUCAUCCCCGUCCAAGAACGAUGCAGCCACUCCUCGCAUUGUAUAAUGUUAUAUUCAAUCGAUAGUGGAAAGUACUGAUUCAGAAGAAUUGAAGAAUACUAGUUACCUAAAUUUAGGUCCUGCGAGCAAAACUUGAUGUUGGAAGGGGCCUUACAUAUGCAAUACGGCUCUUGUACCUGAUGUUAUCGACUAUGAAACGGUAAACUUGCACUUUUCUGGAUUUCAGAAUCAUCAAUCAAUAUAGGGGAAGCCUUCUGAAUUACUGAACCUUUCUCCUUUCAUCUACCAUGGUCAUCGGUUUCAAUGCAGAAUUUGUUACUCUUUAGUCAAAAAGCUGCCGCUAGCCAGUUGCCACUCUGGAUUUAUUUUGGGAACACUGUAGAAUAUUGUUGAAUUCAAAAUUAUUUCAAGUCCACUUUGAAAUAUGAAGCAGCAUGAUCAUAUGGAGAACUUAUCGCAUUUCAUACUUCGUAAUCUCCCCCACUCUCUAUGUUUAUCUAUAUCAGUUAAUGUUUGUUUCUUUAUUGUGUUCUGUUUUGUUUUGUUCUCUCUACUUCUCUUCUCAUCCCUCUGUGAGUGUGUAGGUGUGGCUGUUAUGAAGGUUUGAGACUGUGCAGGGAUCCACAUCUGCAGAUGGGAAGACAACACCUGCCAUUGGCUGGGCAAUGCAAUCAGAAGGACACUGGUUAAUAUGGUUUUGAUAUUUUGUUUACAAAGUUGCCUUUGUUUUUUGGGUUCUGCCUUUUUGUUUAGCAAGUUACUUUCCUGGCUGGCAUUAUGAAAAUGGCUUUUCUACGGUGGGGAAAUUCUAGUCUCGUGUUUCAUCUAUGAAUUCCUCUCCAUAUAUUUAUCGAUGCUGUAGAAAUGGGAAAGCUCAUCAGCUUUGUCUUGUAAUGGUUGGACAAGGGACAUUGUUCAGAAAGC